UACGAAGGGGGCUAGCGUUGCUCGGAAUCACUGGGCGUAAAGGGUGCGUAGGCGGGUCUUUAAGUCAGGGGGUGAAAUCCUGGAGCUCAACUCCAGAACUGCCUUUGAUACUGAGGAUCUUGAGUUCGGGAGAGGUGAGUGGAACUGCGAGUGUAGAGGUGAAAUUCGUAGAUAUUCGCAAGAACACCAGUGGCGAAGGCGGCUCACUGGCCCGAUACUGACGCUGAGGAGCGAAAGCAUGGGUAGCGAACAGG
rnacentral:rRNA from 1 species